CUGGGUCCGGGGGUGGCGUGGCGUGGCGGUGCCGCGGGUGGGAAGCGGCGGCUUGCGGAAGCCCGGUUGCCCCCGUGGAGCCGCGUGUUCGCGCCCCACGGGGCAGCGCUGCAUCCCGGCCUGCGUGGAUCCGGCUGGUCGCGGGGGCGGCCGUAGCGCGAAUCAGGCGCGGGGUCCUCGUCACUCUUGACGUCGCGGCGUGCGCCGUGACGUCGCGGGCGCUCGGGGCCUGUUAUCGGGGCUACCCUCAGCCAAAGGCGGUGUUUGCGUUAGUCCCGCCUCUGCAGGCUUUGUCUUACUGGGCUGCCAGCCAAGACCCCAACGCGCAAAGAGUUAUGAGCCUGGAAAUGUGAGGAGCCCUCCCCGCGUGGUGUGCCGGGCGGGAUGCAGGCUUUCACCCGGCGCUGCGCAACUGAGUUUGACGUCUUCCUACACCCCGGCAGUUCUGCCCCCGCCUGGCGGUAUUAAAUGUUAGCAUAUCAACUCGGCUUUAAUGGAGACUUGGAAAUGCAUGGGCGUGGUUGUUGAGCUGUUGAUGUACAGAUCUGUACAACUGGAAGGAUCCCUGGAGGAGCAGAGCAUCCUUUUAAGGAUGACUUGAAGGUUCUUUUGGGGUAACUGGCAGGAAACGAUCUAUGUUAGAGUGUAUGAAGAAGUCCUAAACACUUGGAAUUAAUAAACUCCCUAUAGUCACAUACAUGGUGUAUCGUGGGUCCAUCAACAUGGUGAUUGAGGCCCACUCCUUUAAGGCGGAUACCACCGAGGAGCUGAAUGUGCUGAGAGCCCAGCACCUUGCAGGAGGUGAGGAGGAAAGCAGUACUGCUGCACGCUUACCUCUGGAUAAAAGGAAGCCCUAUAUGCUUCAGCUCUCCUUUUGGGUUUCAGGUAGAUUCCGAGUUACACAGUAAGUGGCUCUUGCUGCGCUGCAGGCAAGCUGUUCGAGAGCUGGCAGUCAGGUGCUAGCUUUUCUAGCCAGCCUUUGACCGAUUGCUGUGCUCCCUGCUAACACCGGGUGGCUUCACUCCCUUGCUUCAAGCUGGAAAAUGACUGACGCUUGGAAGCGCAUGAAUGUUGGAGCUGAUUUCUGUUAAUUACUCUAUGGUAGUACCACGUUGGCUUGAAAAAAAAAGGAAAAAUAGCCUGUAAACAGAGUAUUUUGGAUGCUAAACUAGAAUAUUAAAUUCACUUCCCUCUGUUCUCAUUUUUUAAAACUUUGUUAAUCUUCAGCAAGUAUUUCCUUGGUGCUGCCCUGCAAGCACUUGUCCACAUCUGUAACUUCAGUCUGCGACUUGACUGGACUGUUUGCUUGUGUGCAAAUUACUUGGGCUUGACUGUCCGCAGGGUCUAGUCCAGAGUCCUCCUCAUACAAUAAUCCAGUGACCCGAACACUGCAAAGCCAUUUUGCAGCAGCUUGUCAAAUGGUUGAUGACUAGUGUGUCUAAGUAAACUUCCUUCUAGUGAAAUUAGUUUAAUGGGGGAUGUUUUACGGGGAAGGAAGAUGACUCUAUUGAUGAAGUAAACAGUACGGCUUUGCCAGCCUGCUGAUUAUCACACGCACACACACAAAAAUUAGUGUUCCCAGCAGUACUGCUGCUCUGUGUGCAAGCCUCCAGCUGCUCAACUUUUGCAACCUGUUCCCCAUAUCUGUUAGGACAUAUUACAAGAAGGUAAUGUGUCUCAGAAAGUGAAUAUUUCAAAUUGAAAUUAUAGCUUAAAGAGGGUGAUCACAAGAAAUAAGCAAAGCUGUGGGGUUUUAUAGGUUUGGGUUUUAUUUUUGAUGUUGUUUUUAAGCCUUUUUGCCUUUGCUAGAUUUUGUUGUUGUGGUUAAGCAGGUAGUUGCCCUUAAUUUUUUUUUUUCUUCCUUCCCUUCUCUACUGCUAGGGAAGGAUCUACAAAUUGGCUGACAAGUAGGAAAGGAAACUGAGUAUUUGGAGUCAGAUGGGAAAUUACACUGGAAAAAUGCAAGAACCUGUUAU